AAGCAGAAGAAAGGUACACCCGCUUUGGGAACCUGGCACACCUAGAAGAGACCACCAAGUCUAUCCUGUAAAAUCACACACCUGAAGUAAUGGGACUUUAAGUUUGAAUUCACCUGGAAUUACUGGGAAGUAUUUAGAAAACAUCUGAAAGAAAAAUACCUAAAUAAGAGUCAAUAAAUGUUAUCACCAUGACAAGCAUAUAAAGUCAUGACUGCUUGUUGCGAAAGAGCACAGUAUAUCAGAAGAGACACCAUAUGGAAUUCCUCAACAAGAUAAUUUCAUUGAAGUGGAACAUGUAUUUGAUCCUAAUGAAGAGGAUUCCAGCUCAUCACGAACUGUGGACCUUCCAGCUGCACAGUUUGCCAGUGUCACAGCUACACUUGCUCUGCCAAGCACUACGUAAUCCAUACUGCAAAAUCAAAGACCUGAAGUUGAAAUUUCCUUCAAACUCUUAGGUAUUUGCAGGAUACCUCCCACCAGGCUUCGCCUCUCCAGAUGGGCUCCGGAGGACAUGUGUGCUGACCAUGCCCGCUGGACACGCCCGCUGGACACGCCCGCUGACCAUGCCCCCCACCACUCCUGCCUACCACACCAAAACCCAAAGAGAAGAGGUACCUCUCUUUUCAAUGGCGCCAGGGAAAGGAAGCCUGAGCGCCACCCUGGAACCUUAUACCCCAGGACUGUUCCAACUUCCAGAGACAGCAAGGGUGGGAGUGGAUGAGCCAGGAAGGUCCUUCCCACUCACCCCCGGGACAUCGGGGGACCCGCUACAGUGUUGAGAGCUGUUGAAGGUGGAAAAAACAGGAGUGGUCAGAAAAGACUUAGAUCCAAGAAUGCGAAGUGCUCAUAAUCAAUUACAAAAAAAAAAAAUUUCACCCCCUCUCACCACCACAAUGGUUUGUCCCGUGCCACGGGGGGCGCUCUCUUCCUGGAGAUGGAAUGUUCUAGAACUGGAAAGAGCCCCUACAUUUCAGCUGCCUCAGGUUCCACUGAAGGAAGAACGUGGGGCCCGGGAACAGCCUGACCCCCCCCCCACACACACACAUACCCUCCGACCCAAGACUGAACAGUCUGCUCAACUGAAUAGUCAUAAAUCCUGGCUCCACGUACACUUGAGACUAUAUCGAACCUGCCUCCCUCCACGCCCCCGCUCGUACUGCCUGCCGUUUCUCCCCACAACCAUUUGAUAUCAGACUGAUUUACUGCCACCUCACAGCUUCUUGUGGUAGAAACCUCUUCUUAGUAUUUGAAACCAACCAGUAUCUGACAGAUAUGGGAUUUGUAAAAAAUACCCUGGAAGAUUCAGGAAUGAAACUUCUUUGUGAAAGAUUAACACAGACAAACUGUAUCUUACAGACAUUCAGGUUUUACUGAUGCCUGAUUUCUCCUGCUUCCUGUGGGCUGCUACCAGCUAUUCUCAGCACCAGUCACUCAUUCACUGACCAGGAUUUUAGUGAAACAAAACUGGAUGCUUCAGCUUUGAAAUUGCUCUGUGAAGGCUUAGAAGAUCCAAAUUGCAAAUUACAGAUGCUCAAAAUUUGGAACGUGGAAACUCAAAAGAAAAUUGAAGGCUCAAAUGUUGUGGUGUAUAUCAUAGAAAUUCUUGAAAGUGAUGGAGGAAAAAGUUGAUGGGAAACGGUCUAAAGAAUUAGACUACUUAAUAUGGAGCAACAAAGAUUAAGAAGACAGGAAGGUUGUGUGCUAGCUUUCUCCCUGAAAGCUCAGAGGCUGUUUGCAAGUAUCUUGCCUCUGUUCUCAUUUGCAAUCCAAACCUCACUGAGCUGGACCUAAGUGAAAAUACCCUUGGGGACAUAGGGGUGAAGUGUCUUUGUGAGGGUCUCACACAUUCCAACUGUAAAGUGGAGAAACUAGAUAUACUACCAUCUUAUGUAUUUACAAGAAUGACACUAAUUAAAUAUUAACUUUAUAAAGAAUACCUACUAUGCACCUAGCACUGGACUAGAUGUCAACUUACCAGAAGGACCACCAGUGACAAGGCUACCCUUAAGGACGCACAGAUGUGAAACAGUUGGAGAGCAAUACAUUUCAAUGUGUAGUCAAGUGCCCAACACUGUGGAAUCAUUUAGAAAUGCCAGAUAAGCCCAGGAUUGAGCACAUGUUAUCUCACAGAUGCUAGCUGUGUGGAACUCUCCUCUAUCUUGCAAGUGAGUCGGAUUUUAAGAGCUAUUUGUGGUUACCAGUGCCUUGCGGGACACGGGAGUACAGCAUCUCUCUGAGGGUCUACAGCAUGGGAAGGGUAAAGUCAAGAAUCUUACAUUGUGGACCUGUCACCUGACUAGAGAGUGUUGUCAGGAUUUGUGUAAUGCACUCUACACCAAUGAACACCUGAGAUAUCUUGACUUCAAUGACAAUGCCCUAGGGGACAAGGGCAUGAAGCUGCUAUGUGAAGGGUUGAAAUACCCUGCAAACUAAAGACCUUAUGGUUAGCAAAAUGUCAUCUCACAGAUGGGUGCUGUGGAACCUUUGCCUCUGUUCUGAACAGAAAUGAGAACCUAACAUUGAUAGACUUAAGUGGAAAUGACCUCAAGGAUUUUGGAGUGCAAAUGCUGUGUGAUGCACUGAUUCAUCCAAUAUAUAAACUACAGACAUUCUAGUAAGUUACUGUGGUGAGGG